rnacentral:snRNA from 1 species
AUACUUACCUGGUGCCGGGGCCUCAUUGAUCACCGAAGACGAGCCCCCAGGUCGAGGCGCGGGCAUUGCACUGCGCUCGCGUUGACUCUUGCCGUUACCCCAAACUGGGGCAGAUGGGGCAUGUAAAUUGCUGAAAC